UACAGAGGUGUCAAACGUUGUCCGGAAUUAUUGGGCGUAAAGCGCGUGUAGGCGGCUUUGCAAGUCGGGUGUGAAAGCCUUCAGCUCAACUGAGGAAGUGCGCCCGAAACUGCAGAGCUUGAGUACCGGAGAGGAUGGCGGAAUUCCCGAAGUAGAGGUGAAAUUCGUAGAUAUCGGGAGGAACACCGGUGGCGAAGGCGGCCAUCUGGACGGAUACUGACGCUGAGACGCGAAAGCGUGGGGAGCAAACAGG
rnacentral:rRNA from 1 species